AUUGAACGCUGGCGGCAGGCCUAACACAUGCAAGUCGAGCGAGCGGCGGACGGGAGAGUAAUGUAUGGGGAUCUGCCCGAUAGAGGGGGAUAACUACAGGAAACGGGGGAUAAUAACGUAUACUAUCGGGAGGACCCAUAUGGGUGUAGCUAGUAGGAGGGGUAAAGGCGCACCAAGGCGACGAUCUCUAGCUGGUCUGAGAGGAUGAUGAGCCACACUGGGACGGAGACACGGCACAGACUCCUACGGGAGGCAGUAGUGGGGAAGAAUGCAAAAUGGGAGCAAGUCUGAUGCAGCCAUGCCGCUUGUAUGAAGAAGGCCUUAGGGGUGUAAAGUACUUUCAGCGGGGAGGAGUUACCCGCAGAAGAAGCACCGGCUAACUCCGUGCCAGCAGCCGCGGUAAUUC
rnacentral:rRNA from 1 species